CCUACGGGAGGCAGCAGUGGGGGAUAUUGCACAAUGGGGGAAACCCUGAUGCAGCGACGCCGCGUGAGUGAAGAAGUAUUUCGGGAUGUAAAGCUCUAUCAGCAGGGAAGAAAAUGACAGUACCUGACCAAGCAGCCCCGGCUAACUACGUGCCAGCAGCCGCGGUGAUACGUAGGGGGCAAGCGUUAUCCGGAUUGACUGGGUGUAAAGGGAGCGUAGACGGGUAUGUAAGUCUGGAGUGAAAGCCGGGGGCCCAACCCCCGUACUGCUUUGGAAACUGUGUAACUGGCGUGGAGGAGGGGCAUGCGGAAUUCCUGGUGUAGCGGUGAAAUGCGUAGAUAUCAGGAGGAACCCCGGUGGCGAAGGCGGCCUGCCGGACUGAAACUGACGUUGAGGCACGAAAGCGUGGGGAGCAAACAGGAUUAGAUACCCGGGUAGUC
rnacentral:rRNA from 1 species